rnacentral:rRNA from 1 species
UACGGAGGAUCCAAGCGUUAUCCGGAUUCAUUGGGUUUAAAGGGUGCGUAGGCGGAAUGAUAAGUCAGCGGUGAAAUCCCUCGGCUUAACCGAGGAACUGCCGUUGAUACUGUCAAUCUUGAGUACAUUUGAUGUGGGCGGAAUGUGUCAUGUAGCGGUGAAAUGCUUAGAUAUGACACAGAACACCGAUUGCGAAGGCAGCUCACAAAACUGUAAACUGACGCUGAGGCACGAAAGCGUGGGGUAUCAAAACAGG